GCCAUGCGAGUCGACAUAGCAAUUAUGUGGCAUACGGCUCAGUAACACGUAGUCAACAUGCCCAGGGGACGUGGAUAACCUCGGGAAACUGAGGAUAAACCGCGAUAGGUCAUCACUUCUGGAAUGGGUAAUGACUUAAACCUAUAUGGCCCCUGGAUUGGACUGCGGCCGAUCAGGCUGUUGGUGAGGUAAUGGCCCACCAAACCUGUAACCGGUACGGGCUCUGAGAGGAGGAGCCCGGAGAUGGGCACUGAGACAAGGGCCCAGGCCCUAUGGGGCGCAGCAGGCGCGAAACCUCUGCAAUAGGCGAAAGCUUGACAGGGUUACUCUGAGUGAUUUCCGUUAAGGAGAUCUUUUGGCACCUCUAAAAAUGGUGCAGAAUAAGGGGUGGGCAAGUCUGGUGUCAGCCGCCGCGGUAAUACCAGCACCCCGAGUGGUCGGGACGUUUAUUGGGCCUAAAGCAUCCGUAGCCGGUUCUACAAGUCUUCCGUUAAAUCCACCUGCUUAACAGAUGGGCUGCGGAAGAUACUAUAGAGCUAGGAGGCGGGAGAGGCAAGCGGUACUCGAUGGGUAGGGGUAAAAUCCGUUGAUCCAUUGAAGACCACCAGUGGCGAAGGCGGCUUGCCAGAACGCGCUCGACGGUGAGGGAUGAAAGCUGGGGGAGCAAACCGGAUUAGAUACCCGGGUAGUCCCAGCUGUAAACGAUGCAGACUCGGUGAUGAGUUGGCUUAUUGCUAACUCAGUGCCGCAGGGAAGCCGUUAAGUUUGCCGCCUGGGGAGUACGGUCGCAAGACUGAAACUUAA
rnacentral:rRNA from 1 species